rnacentral:rRNA from 1 species
GACGAACGCUGGCGGCGUGCUUAACACAUGCAAGUCGAACGGAAAGGCCCUGCUUUUGUGGGGUGCUCGAGUGGCGAACGGGUGAGUAACACGUGAGUAACCUGCCCUUGACUUUGGGAUAACUUCAGGAAACUGGGGCUAAUACCGGAUAGGAGCUCCUGCCGCAUGGUGGGGGUUGGAAAGUUUCGGCGGUUGGGGAUGGACUCGCGGCUUAUCAGCUUGUUGGUGGGGUAGUGGCUUACCAAGGCUUUGACGGGUAGCCGGCCUGAGAGGGUGACCGGCCACAUUGGGACUGAGAUACGGCCCAGACUCCUACGGGAGGCAGCAGUGGGGAAUAUUGCACAAUGGGCGGAAGCCUGAUGCAGCAACGCCGCGUGCGGGAUGACGGCCUUCGGGUUGUAAACCGCUUUCGCCUGUGACGAAGCGUGAGUGACGGUAAUGGGUAAAGAAGCACCGGCUAAUUACGUG